rnacentral:misc_RNA from 1 species
UCUCCGUUGGUGAACCAGCGGAGGGAUCAUUACUGGAAUCGCAAGAUCCCACAACCCUGUGAACCUACCGAAACGUUGCCUCGGCGGGUGCCCGGCCUCUGCGCCGGGCGCUGCGCCCGCCGGCGGCCCCCUACUCUGUCUCUACAGCGUGGCAUCUCAGAGUCCCAGAAAACAAGUCAAAACUUUCAACAACGGAUCUCUUGGCUCUA